rnacentral:rRNA from 1 species
CCCUUAGAUGUUCUGGGCCGCACGCGCGCUACACUGACGAAGUCAGCGAGCAUGUCCUACGCCGACAGGUGCGGGGAAUCUUGUCAAACUUCGUCGUGAUGGGGAUUGAUUAUUGAAAUUCUUGAUCAUCAACGAGGAAUUCCUAGUAAGCGCAAGUCAGCAGCUUGCGUUGAUUACGUCCCUGCCCUUUGUACACACCGCCCGUCGCUACUACCGAUCGAAUGGUUUAGUGAGAUCUUCGGAUUGGCGCCACUGCGGCUCAGCAAUGGGCUCGGUGGAUGCCGAAAAGUUGAUCAAACUUGAUCAUUUAGAGGAAGUAAAAGUCGUAACA